rnacentral:rRNA from 1 species
UACAGAGGUCUCAAGCGUUGUUCGGAUUCAUUGGGCGUAAAGGGUGCGUAGGUGGCGCGCUAAGUCAGGUGUGAAAUUUCGGAGCUUAACUCCGAAACUGCAUUUGAUACUGGCGUGCUUGAGGACUGGAGAGGGGACUGGAAUUCACGGUGUAGCAGUGAAAUGCGUAGAGAUCGUGAGGAAGACCAGUGGCGAAGGCGGGUCUCUGGACAGUUCCUGACACUGAGGCACGAAGGCCAGGGGAGCAAACGGG